CGGAUAGUCAAGCUGAGUCUCCCCGAUGCGUCGGGCAGGGAAAACAUUCUGCGCAUCCACUGCUCGAAGCUCCCCGGCUUCCUGGAAUGCAAAGGUGUCGACGAGGAACGGCUGAA
rnacentral:sRNA from 1 species